GAAAUGGUGCCCAGAGCAAAAAAGCCAGACACUUGGACUCUCGUAUAAGUACAGUCUGUGUGAAAAUGUUACUACUGAACACAAGUAGAAGUUGCUGAAUCCACAUCAGAACACAUUUUGGCAGGAAAUAAGGAACUCGAAGCCCUGAAAUUAUAAAUGAUUUGGUGACAAGCCGAGCUUGCAAUGCAGGCAAUAAAAACCGUGGAAAAAGAGGUGACUUUUAUAAAGGAAAGGAUUUUCACAGAAUCCUUCCUACAGAAACAGGAGUGCAGCAGAAGCCUGGAGAGCGGGCAGCUGGGCAAGCAGCAGCCAUUGGAAGGAGCUGUCUGCAGCUCGCAGUGCUGCACUGAGCAUGUCCCAGCGGAGCCCAGCGCAAGCAGCACAUUAUGCAAAAAGGCAGCUCUAGCAGAUGGGAGAGAGGCACAGCAAGCAUUUGCUCCGCUUGCAUCACCACCGUUUGAAAACGAACCUGGAUCGCUAGAGGGGAUCUUGCCGGCAGGCCGAAGGAAUGAAAUCCGGGAGCAUGGCUUGAUUGCAGAAGGUCUUGCACAGAAUAAAAUCAUGGGGAAUCAAGAUGGGAAGCUGAAGAAAAACGCAGGUGAUGUGCAUGAAGGAGAGGAUGCCUCUGGGCCCAAGGAUACAGAUGGCACAAAGAAGGUAUCGGGAAGCAGGAGGGGACUGGGGAAGCAUGCAAAAGGAAGUGAAUCCAGUAAGAAGAAGGGUAAGUCGGAGUCGAGGGCCUCCGUGUUUUCAAAUCUGAGGAUCAGAAAAAAUCUGUCUAAGGCUAAAGACGGGAAUAGUAGUUCACGGGAGGAUGUUUUGGAAAGCCAGGCCUCGCAGGCUGGAGAGCUGGACAGUACUCAUUCAAUUGUAGCCAAAACUCCAGAUAUAAGCAUCUCUGCAGAUGAAGGGGGUCUCUCAGACACAGAUGUGGAACAUUUUGAAAUCAGAAAUGAAACUGUCCCAGCUGCUGCAGAGACACAGGAUGGACAAAGGACCAGCUCUGGCUCUGAUACGGAUAUAUACAGUUUCCAUUCAGCCACAGAACAAGAGGAUUUGCUUUCUGAUAUCCAGCAAGCUAUUAGACUGCAGCAGCAGCAGCAGGGGGCAAUUAACACUGGAACUGAGGACCUUGUCACCAAAACAAUGGGCCGACACAUGGUUAAUUCGCAAGCAGCCCCCUUAGAUUUUGAACGGUUUCUUUCAGUAACUACCACUGACAAAGAGAGGAGCCCAGACACUGAAGCAGCUUUUCCAGCGAUAUCUGAAAUUGCGGAAAGCAUUCGCGUCUCCUGUGCAGCUGAACGUGAACUGAAAGAAGUGGUAAAUGGCACAGGCUCUCCUGGUAACGGCUUAUUUGAAACACAGGAACGUAACCUACUGAUUGAUGAACAGAAACAGCUCGUUGCUAGAGUGGAUGCUGUAGCUGGGGAACUAGAAGAUGAUUUAAAUAGAACUGUGGUAGAAAACGGGUCUCAGACACAUAGCUCCACACAACCUUUUCCAACCUCAGUAGCAGAUGGUGGGACUGAAAGUGCUGAAGUGCAGUCUGUUGAUUUGCAGGAUACAGUAACGCAGGAUGGUAUUUCAGAUGCAGGCCAUGAUCAUGCUGCUGAGACUCAGGAAGAGAAACAUGCUCUGUCAGCCAGUCAAGAGGACCUGCAUAAUGGUUUAUCCACAGAAAUGAAAAAUGGCAUUUUGUCCUCUGAGGGGACAACAGGCAGUCCGAUGCUUGGUUCCCGAUGCUUUAAGCCCUAUCUAAUUAAUCCUUGUUACAUCAAAACCACAACUAGGCAACUGAGUUCUCCCAACCAUUCACCAUCUCCCUCCCCGUCCCAGAGCCCACUUUUUACAAGGAAGCAGGAGUACUUCCACCAAAAAGAAAAAGUCUCAAUCAAGAAGCAGAGGUCUGCUAGUUUGACAGGUUUAUUUAGUCGUUCUGCAGACUGGACGGAAGAGGUAUCUAAUCACAAAUGUGAGAUAACACAGAAGGUGGGCUCUGCAGGCUACUUGGAGCACAAGGGGUUUAGAGAGAAAUUCCAAACAGAAAGAGUGCCUUUGACUCAUUCAAGGAAGUCCUCAGGGGUGCAGGCUUCUGCAGAGACAUUUCCCAAUGUCUUUUCAGGACGAACUCUACUGGAAAAGCUCUUCAACCAGCAGGAAAAUGCGCCACAAGAAGAAGCGGAAAAACUGUGUUCUCGUAUUAUUGCAUUGGGUCUUUUGCUUCCAUUCACCGACUGCUUCAGAGAACCAUGUAAUCAGAGCACCCAGCAAACCACACCCACGUUCGAUCAAGACCAGCUUUAUACUUGGGCUGCAGUUAGCCAACCCACACAUUCAUCAGAUUACAUUGAAGGAAGUUUUCCAAGGAGAAUUCCAUCUGUGUGGCCCCCACCCAAACCUCCAGAUGAAGAACAAAGACUUAAAAUUACAAAAGAAGAAUCGAAAUCUACUGUCCUUGAAACAGAGAAACAGUGCAUAGAUGACAUUCAGCGGGUACAGGAUGAUAUUGAAGUGAAAUCCGAGGAGCGUGCCAGUGUCAUCCAACAACUUGAGCAAACUAUUGAGGAUCUGAGGACAAAAAUUGCGGAACUAGAGAAACAGUUCCCUGCUGCAGAGGUACAGACUGCUGGGAGGGAGCAGGGAAAUGAGCAUACACACACAGUCUGCAAGGAACUUAGCAGUGUGACUCUUCAAACAAGCAGAGAAGAGACUGUACCCAGGACUGCAUCACAAGCAAGAUCUGUACAAACAUCACCAACGGAGGAUUAUCUAACACACACGAUGCCUUCAGCCAAUGCACUGCCACAGUCGCCCCCACCACCACACUUAGAAGGGGGUAAAGCUGUAGACCCGACUCAGAAAUUGCCAGCCCUAGAACUACAGCCCACGUUUUGUUCUGAAAUCUCUUUAAUUCUGUCGCCGAAGCUAAUCUCGGUGCCGGUGGAUGCAAGCCAAUCAGUGCAGAGUAUGCUGCAGUCACCUCUUCCAGAACCCAAAGUUAAUUUGGCCCUUGCACUUGCUGCUCCCCCAUCUGGAGAACAUGGCCCUUCCCUUGCCACUUCCAUGUCCAUGACAGGAGUACCUGCACCGCUGCCCCUGCCCGGCUCAGGACUCCCUCCUUCUGCUGGCUCAGCAGUGCCACAUCUGGACUGCUCUGGCCCAGGCAUGGCACCACCCCCUCCCCCUCCUCCUCCACCUUUCCCAAGUGGGGAGAUGUCGAUGCUGCCUCCAGCCCCUCCUCUACCAUGUGCUGGAGUUCCACCACCACCUCUACCACCACCUUUGCCUGGAGCAGGAGUCCCACCUCCUCUUCUUGGUUGGGGCAUCCCACCUCCGCCACCACCACCACCUUUACCUGGGGUUGUUGUCCCUCCCCCACCUCCUCCUCUGCCUGGCCCGGGAAUGCCAUCGCCACCCCCAGCACCACCUCUGCCUGGAGCAGGUCUGCCACCACCUCCCCCACCUCUGCCUGGAGGGGGCAUGCCACCCCCUCCUCCUCCCCCACCACUGCCUGGUGCAGGUGUCCCCCCUCCACCUCCUCCACCACCUCUGCCCGGUGCAGGUGUCCCCCCUCCACCUCCUCCACCACCUCUGCCCGGUGCAGGUGUCCCCCCUCCACCUCCUCCACCACCUCUGCCCGGUGCAGGUGUCCCCCCUCCACCUCCUCCACCACCUCUGCCCGGUGCAGGUGUCCCCCCUCCACCUCCUCCACCACCUCUGCCCGGUGCAGGUGUCCCCCCUCCACCUCCUCCACCACCUCUGCCCGGUGCAGGUGUCCCCCCUCCACCUCCUCCACCACCUCUGCCCGGUGCAGGUGUCCCCCCUCCACCUCCUCCACCACCUCUGCCCGGUGCAGGUGUCCCCCCUCCACCUCCUCCACCACCUUUGCCUGGUGCUGGUGUCCCUCCACCACCCCCUCCUUUGCCUGGGCUGGGGAUGCCACCUCCAGCCCCUCCACCUUUGCCUGGAGGAACACCACCCCUUCCAGUGCCAGCUCAGGGUAGCUCCUACCCAGCAGUCCCACUGGGCUGUGGGUUUAUUCCUCCUCCAUUACCAUCUGGUUUAUUUGCAAUGGGGAUGAAUCAGGAGAAAGGGAGCAGGAAACACGUGAUAGAGCCUUCUCGGCCAAUGAAGCCUCUUUAUUGGACAAGAAUUCAGCUCCAUGGUAAAAGAGAUUCUAGUGCUUCACUUGUGUGGGAAAAAAUUGAAGAGCCUUCCAUAGAUUAUCAUGAGUUUGAAGAACUGUUUUCUAAAACAGCUGUAAAAGAGAGGAAGAAACCCAUUUCGGACACCAUUACAAAAACAAAGACUAAACAAGUUGUCAAGUUGUUAAGUAACAAAAGAUCUCAAGCUGUUGGAAUACUAAUGUCUAGCCUUCAUUUAGACAUGAGGGACAUUCAGCAUGCUGUUGUGAACUUGGACAACUCUGUGGUUGACCUAGAGACCCUUCAAGCCCUCUAUGAGAAUAGAGCACAAACAGAUGAAUUAGAAAAAAUAGAAAAGCAUAGCAAGGCAUCCAAGGAAAAAGAAAACGCUAAGUCUUUGGAUAAGCCGGAACAGUUCCUCUAUGAACUCUCACUAAUUCCCAACUUUUCAGAACGUGUAUUUUGCAUCUUGUUCCAAUCAACGUUUUCAGAAAGCAUUUGUUCAAUCCAUCGCAAACUUGAAUUGUUACAAAAACUGUGUGAGACGUUGAAAAAUGGAUCAGGAGUUAUGCAGGUCCUGGGUUUGGUUCUUGCCUUUGGAAAUUACAUGAAUGGUGGAAACAGGACGCGAGGACAGGCUGAUGGCUUUGGACUAGAUAUCCUGCCAAAACUGAAAGAUGUGAAGAGCAGUGACAACAGCAGAAGUCUUCUGUCUUACAUUGUCUCAUAUUAUUUGCGUAAUUUUGACGAGGAUGCUGGAAAAGAACAAUGCAUCUUUCCUCUUCCAGACCCACAAGAUCUCUUUCAGGCUUCACAAAUGAAGUUUGAUGACUUUCAAAAAGAUCUUCGCAAAAUGAAGAAAGAUUUGCGAGUAUGUGAGACGGAAGCAGCUAAAGUUUAUCAGCUAUCACUAGAAGAGCACCUCCAGCCUUUCAAAGACAGCAUGGAGCAAUUCAUUAGUCAAGCUAAAAUAGACCAGGAAAAUGAAGAGAAGUCACUGACAGAAGCACAUAAAAGCUUUUUGGAAACUGCAGCCUAUUUCUGUAUGAAACCAAAAAUGGGAGAGAAGGAGGUGUCCCCACAUUCUUUCUUCAGCAUUUGGCAUGAAUUCAGUUCUGACUUCAAAGACUUCUGGAAGAAGGAAAACAAACUUAUUCUUCAAGAAAGGUUAUUAUCUUGGAUCGCCAAGCUGAUCAGGGUCUCACUGGGGUAAGUGGGAAUUAAUGUGGGAAAAGCCUGAGUAAGAAGGAAAUUGCCACUGUGAGAACAUGACUUGAACUAGGUAUGAGGUAAGAGAAGCAGGGCAGUUUUGGCUAAAUCUCCUGAGUUUCAUGGAUGGGAAAAUGAAGAAUAAGUCAGGACCAAGUGGAGAAAACCUAAGAAGUUGACAAAAGAAUUACCAGUGGCAAGUAAAAGUUAUUUUCCAACUGAAUUAAGAUUAUUGUCCUCACUUCAGAGGUAAUGUUUUAUCUACUUUUCUAGAUCUUUCAAUUUAAAUGUUCACAUCAAAACAUGCCCUUUUGCUCUUCUGGAAGGACUGGGUUAUUUUAGUUUUACAUUUAACAAAAUCUUAAUUUAGUUGAAUGACCUGUGUUCGGAAAAUACACUUGCAUACUGUAGAAAUUGAUACCAGUUCUGCUGGUUUAUGAUUUAGCACCGUGGAGGGCUAAUGAUUGCCUUUGUCUCUAUAUUUCACCAGUAUGCCAACUUUUCUUUUAUAGAUACAGCUGUAGAUUUAUACAGUUCUCUGUGCUUCCAGUUCUAACAUGGUCAUAAACUAAGUCUCCUAACAGUGAGCUUUUGGUGUGCUGCCUUUACGUUUCUAAGGAUGUUUCUUUCUGAAGAGGCAUACGUAUAGGUCGUAUUGACUUCAGAGGCUCUAUCCAGCCAUGUGAAUCUUCCUGUACAGGGAGCAGGACAGGGGCCAAGAGACAGCAAGCUGUCCCAAACCCACACAGUGAGUCAGUGAUAUGGUUGGAACUGGAACUGAGCGGCUGCUAGCUCUUAGCUUUCUCUUAAGUACAUUAGGGAGUAAUGCUUCUCAUCUUCUGCAUUUCCGUCGGUAUGAAUAAAUAGGCUCAAACUCCAAGGAAUUUCACAAGAGCUACCAAAAACUUGAGGACCACAAUUAAACUAGUGAGACUCGAACCUCAUAUGUAAUCCUAGAAAAAUGGGUGGCAAAGGUAAAGGUUGUCAUUUAUCAGUCUGGAAGUUCUGGAUCAUUUUUUCAAGUACAAUCUAAAGGACAGAGAAUUUCUGAUUUCCAGCCUCCCAGACUGGCAUUGUUGUUAGCAUUUUGCUGUUUCAGGCAGAGACAGCCUUUCUCCAAAUACGUAUUUCUCUAAUAGAGGCAGAAAAUUUAGAUGGUACACUGACAGUGACACUUAAGGGGACCAUCUUUUUAGAAAAUAACCCCUAUCACUGCAUUUUCAACAGUUCCAUUCCAUAUGAGGACUUUUGUUUUGAAUUAAUGUGAGACCCCCAGAGAGCUGUGCUGUUUUACAACCUGGUAUGUUAGGCAAGCAGGGGGUAAUCUGUCCUGGAAGGGAGAUAUUUAGAUGUGACAAAGACUAGAACUAAAGAUUCCCUGACAUUUCCUGAGAAUAACAUCUAGAGCUGUGUGAACUGAUUUGGUAAAUAUUUUUGUAUGUUACAUAUGCUGUCGUUUGCAUGAUGAGUAGACUGAAUACCUGCAUAUAUUACAUUGCUUCUAUAAACCCGUCAUUUUGAUAACCUCAGUAGUACUUGUACAGUCCCUGGGAUUUGACACUAAUUCACUCCCAAGUAAUAUUUCAUUUUCUUAUUUAAAUGAUGUCUACCAGUGAAAGGAGCCAGCUAUAGUUGUAUUCGAAAAAAAGGAAAUUAUAUGAAAGACGUGCUAUUUUAUAUCUGACUCUGUAAGAGUGUCUUUUGAUGGGUCGGGGUGUGUCUGACUGUUUGGAAAAGAUCGUGGGAGGAUCGAUGUCACAGAUACUUUUCCUCCUUCAGAUGUAAGUAUAUGUGAAGAAAAAGUGGUGUUUCAGGAAAAAGAAAAUGUCUUUGAACUUUACCACAUUCUGUAUCUUUCCCAUAAGUUUCUGUUUAAAGCUAUCACCACGUUCUGGUCACCACUUUUACUGAAUUUAUUUAAAUACGUUUUAAAGGUGGCUUACUUGGCUGUUUGACAUUCUUGUUCUAUAUUAUGCUGCAGCAAUCUAUCUGAUUUGCAGUCAGAAAACGUUACAGCUUGACAAUAAUAGGUUUGAAAGCCUUUUUUCUCCCCACUGCAUGUGAAGGUCCUCCUGCAUUAAUAAAAUAUAAGUUUAUCAAACGUAGAUAGCAACUUGUUGGAAGUGCUGGAAAAUAACUGAUGUUAAAAUUAAUAUUUGAAAGUAUAAAUUUGAAACUUAUGAAAAGAACGAGGUGUGUCUGUUGAAAUUGGAAUAAGGAGAGAUGGAUGUGAAGGUGAUUUUUUUUUUGGUUGUUUUGGGUUUUUUUGUUUGUUUGUUUGUUUGUUUUUUGUGUGUGUGUUUUUUUUUUUUAAUGUGCUUAGCAGACCCAGCUGGAGUUGUGUUUUCAAAAUCCGGCCCUUACCACACACACAAAAAUAUUUAAAAAUAAUAAUAACACCACUUCUGAUUCUCACAUUGCCCUAUGUAGCCUCAGUGAAAUAGCAGACAUGCAAGUGGUCUGGAGAUGAACCGCAUGGAACCAGCCAAAGAUAUAUCAUUUCUUCAAUAUCAUUUUACUAUUGUGUUUUGUUUUGUUUUGUUUUGUUUUUAAUCACUGUUGGAUAACGAUGAAAAGGCAGAGUAAAAGCUAUCUAAAGUCUACAUUGUUGGCAAGAGCAAGCCAAUAUAGGAUUUACAUUUUUAUUUUCUACUUUCUAAUUUAUACAUAAUAUUCUCACCUCUCAUUAAAAAAAUAUAUAUAUGCAUCUCACACCAUUUCAUACAAUCAUAUAGGAAGGGUUUAUGUAAGUCUUUGAAGCUCAGAGUAUUAAUAACUUAAAUCUGCAUUAUCAGUGUUUCAAUAACCAUGCGUGUUUGUAAGGUUGAUCUAAAAAAUGAGUAAAAAUGGCAAAGAAAUUUUUUACAGCGUGCCAUUGAACUCACCAGACUUAUUCUGGCAGCCUUCUCUUGGAAUAUAGCCCUCUGCCUUUCAUAGUUUGUUCCCUCUGUGUGUGACAAACAGGACAUUCAUCCCAUUGAAAAUGUGGCAUUUGGUGGUAUUUCACAAGACCCCAAUUUUGACACCCUUUACCAAGUCAGGGAGCACCAAGAAGUUGCACCUCAUUUCUGGAACCUGCUCCUCUCCUUACAUCCGAGCAGCCCAACUGCUUUCAUCCCCAGCAGUCCUGUAGCCUUGCUGCUCAUCCUCAGUUUUGGAAAUAAAGAGAUGUGUAUAGUGACAUGCACCACCUUGGUUGUAAACAUCAUGUUCUUUAAUAAUGAUUCUGCAAAUUUUUGGUUUUAUUUUAAGUCAUUGAGUGAAGACUAGAAAUUUUGGUUAUGCUGUUUUGCCAUUUUAAAUACAAACAAACUGAGUGAAAAGGAAGAUAGCUUGAUGAGAACCUUUUUUUAAACUUUAGUUGAAGUAAUGAGGUUGGGAAUGGAUUAGGAAUGAUUUUUAAAUACUCUUAAAAAGAAAAGAAGCUUUCUUAGCGGUGUUUGCUAUGAAUGCUCUGAAAGGUAUUCUUCACGUCAUCCAGUGUAUUUUAAAUCCUGAUAUAUUUGAAACUUCAACUAUAGUAAGUACUGAUUGCAUUUGUAACUAAAAUUGAUUAUGUCAUUGGUUAUGCCUGUCUUUGUAAGUGCCAGAGCCUGAUGGUGGGGCAACAGCAGCCGCAAAGUGCAAGGUGCAGUUUUGUGGAGUGCACUAAUAAAAAUAUGGGAAAUAAAGUUAUUCACUUGUGUCCUCAGGCCUAAAUUUGUAAGUUAUAAACUGCACUGUCUUUGGAAAUGGUUUUGGUCUGGAGGAAUAUUUAUAAAUGAUGUCUCUCUUCAGAGUUAAAGAAGCAGAGGAAGUCUGCAGGCAGAAAAAGGGCAAGUCGCUAUACAAUAUAAGACCAAAACAUGACUCCGGAAUUAAAGCAAAGAUAAGUAUGAAAAUCUGAGAAGAACAGAAAAAGCCAUUGUUACCUGGUUACCAAAAUUCAACAUGCCUCUGGGUGGGGAGUGAGGGGAAGAAAACUACAUCAUCCUGAUCAUUUGCUUUCUUGACCUUUUUGAAUUUGCUUUUUGUUCUCUCAAGUUUUCCACCAAUUGAUGUGCUAUUGUACAUUCAUUCACGAAUGUAAUCACUUUAAUGGAGUGCCCAGCAAUAGACUAGGUAUGGACUUGAAACACCUUCCCCGUACUCUGUAUCUCCUUUGCCACUCAAAAAUGGUAUUUUGUAAAGUGUAUGGUAUAUUACACAUAGGCCAAGUCAGCAUGCAUAAAAAGUGACAUCUGCAUCAGUGCUGAACAUGCUAAAAAUUGCAUUAAGUUGAACUUCAUAAGAAUGCUACUCAAUACAGUAAAACAUUUCCAUUCCUACCGGCAACAUCUGUUUAACACAAAUACUUCAUGGCACUGCACUUAGAUUAGGGGAAAAAAAAAUGUUACUCCUAGUGAAUUGUUUGUAUCCGUUUCAUGUUGGCAUUUGUAGUUUGUAUUUUGAAUCGUUCAGUGCUGUUUAUACAGUAUAAUCAAUGCUUUCCCAACUUGUUUGGUUGCCCUCCAUGACUAAAUAUUUGUGGAACAAGAUGUUUACUGUAACUAUCUUUAAAAUCAAUAAGGCAGCGUACUUUUACUUCAUCAUUUGCCAGAUAGUGAAUGCCAGGUGGUAUGCGGGUCAGAAAUCCAGCAUUUAAAAAAAAAAAAAAAAAAAAGAAAAAGAAAAAAAAAAGAAAAGGAGUAAAUGAAAAGCAGGAAAAUACAGGAAAAAAAGCACAGAAAUACGAUAGAGAGCAUGAGAGAGAUUUGGCUAUUAUAGUUUGUUAAUAUAUAAAGCAGCUAAUACUUUUACAUGAACUUUAGAAGGCAGAGUAUAGUUUUAACUGCUGACCACUUAAGUCAGACAGGCUUUUGGCCACAUGUACAUGAAUUCCCUUUUGGACUUAGCUUUACAGUUAAUUCAAAACUCCUUUAUAGAGCCAUUAAAAGAUGCACAUGGAGAUUGACAUUUAUGGAAAAUAGUAGCCAAUUCUAGUGACAGAACAUAGACUACCAACUAAUUGACAUCAAUUUCACACUUAACAGAAUUGCAGACUUUUCCUCCAGGCUUUCAGUGUUCCUGACGAGGAGGUUAAUGAUUGAAAUCCAUGACUUAGGGCUUCCAUUUUAGACAGCAUGCUUAAUUCCUAUUUGCAAUCCAGAAUUUACUGUAUCAGUUUUGAUCUGCUCAACUGAUAACAACCCAUUCCUCCAGUCCUAAUUAAAGAGCCCCAAAGCAAUCAGCCUGAUUGAUAACAUUUUUCUUUCAAAGCACACUUUUUCUAAGAGCAGACUGCGUGUGCAACUGAAUUGGACGCACGUGCUCACAGGCUUGGAACCUGAAAGACACUGGGGUAGGGCAAAUGAGCUCUAACCUGCCGGGUUGGGUUAUUCUCUAAUCUAGCACACGAAGAGACUUUCCUAGCUGUCCAGAGGCUCAUAUACCCUACAGGGUGUCAUGAAAGGAAGUGCAAAAUAUGACCUCAGGAACCUGUUAUUCUUCACAUAUACCAAGCACUAGAAAAGAGGUUUUUUUUCACUAUGUGAAAAGCAAGUCUCCUGUUGCUGACAGAUCUAUGUGAAAAACUGUACUUGUAAAAAUUUCUGGCAGGGAUAUAAAUUACCAAGAAUGGAGUUCUAAAAUUUUGUGUUGUUGGGAGUAACAUUACUAUUUGGGGAAGUGAACAGAAGAGAUUAUUUGCUGUGACAACUAACUUAUGGAAAAAAAACUUUAAAAGAUAAAGCUAUUUUAAUGGCACUGAUUCAAAACCAUGUUUGUAUUUAUGUAAACAAUAGUCUUUUCCUCUUAACUUUGCUCCUAAGUGCAAGGAUACAGUAGCAUGUUUUCAUUUGUAGCCUUCCUGUUCCCUUCAGUACCUACAGUAUGUAUAUUACUAUACUAAAAGAAAUAAUAGAUCAUCUAACAAAGAUCACUAUGUGCAAUACUGUAUUUAGUGUUUCUAUUUCAAUUUUUUUAGAAUGUUAAUUUAUAUGAAAAUAAAAGGAAUAAUACUGAAAUAA